rnacentral:rRNA from 1 species
CCUACGGGAGGCAGCAGUGAGGAAUAUUGGACAAUGGACGAGAGUCUGAACCAGCCAAGUAGCGUGAAGGAUGACUGCCCUAUGGGUUGUAAACUUCUUUUAUAUGGGAAUAAAACAGGGUAUGCAUACCCUCAUGUAUGUACCAUAUGAAUAAGGAUAGGCUAACUCCGUGCCAGCAGCCGCGGUAAUACGGAGGAUACGAGCGUUAUCCGGAUUUAUGGGGUUUAAAGGGAGCGUAGGUGGAUUGUUAAGUCAGUUGUGAAAGUUUGCGGCUCAACCGUAAAAUUGCAGUUGAAACUGGCUGUCUUGAGUACAGUAGAGGUUGGCGGAAUUCGUGGUGUAGCGGUGAAAUGCUUAGAUAUCACGAAGAACUCCGAUUGCGAAGGCAGCUCACUGGACUUCAACUGACACUGAUGCUCGAAAGUGUGGGUAUCAAACAGGAUUAGAUACCCCAGUAGUC